rnacentral:misc_RNA from 1 species
GAGAGAGACUGUGGCCAUUUGCCUACCACUAGUUCACAACAACUCGCUUUUCCUCGUUGAGAUGGAAAAUGAGCCUUUUCUGGCCUCCCAAACAAGGCCCCAGCCCCAGUCCUCCCAGCUCCAACCCAUUCUUGAACACCAUGAUCUCUCUUUCACUCUCCCUCAGUCUCUUUCCGGCCCAUUCAUAUUCCCUGAAAUCCAGGACCACCCACAAGAGCAACCCUCUUCUACCCCCGGAGCUCCGGCCGACCACAGAUGGAAACCGAGUUCUCUCCAUCGCUCGAAGACGGCUCCAGCCAUGGUCGUCAUGCAAGACUUGAAACCAGAAUCAACCCAAGAUCCCAAGCCACAAUCUGACAACGACUCCAUUAUCAGGCAAGCCAUUUUCCUGCUUUCUAUGUAUUUACUUAUCGGCGUGGUUAUCUACUCUUUUAACAGAGAUAACUUCUCCGGUGUAGAAACCCACCCGGUUGUCGAUGCCCUCUAUUUCUGCAUAGUAACUAUGUGUACCAUUGGCUAUGGUGAUAUCGCUCCUUUGACACCUGAAACAAAAGUCUUUGCGUGCGUCUUUGUAUUGGUAGGUUUUGGAUUCAUAGACAUAUUACUUAGUGGGUUGGUUAACUAUGUUCUUGAUUUGCAAGAGAGCAUGAUCUUGGCUGGGAUUCAGAUGGGUAAAGCCCACCACCAAGGAUUUUCAGCUAGGAAUUACAUUGUCGAUGUUGAAAAGGGGCGGAUGAGGAUACGAUUGAAGGUUGGUUUGGCACUUGGCGUGGUUGUUUUGUGUAUUGGAAUCGGUAUGUUGGUUCUGUACUUUGUAGAGGAUCUGGAUUGGAUUGAUUCGAUCUAUUUGGCAGUUAUGUCAGUUACUACAGUUGGUUAUGGUGAUAGAGCUUUUAAGACUCUGCCCGGGAGGCUGUUUGCAGCUAUUUGGCUUUUGGUUUCUACGCUGGCGGUGGCAAGGGCGUUUCUUUACUUGGCAGAGGCUAGGAUUGAUAAGAGGCACAGAAGGAUCACCAAGUGGGUUUUACAUAGGGAGAUUACCGUUGAGGACUUGCUUGCUGCUAAUAUCAAUAACAAUGGUUUCAUUAGGUGCGGUUCUGUCUUGAUCCCUACUAAUUUUUCUUGAUUAAUUGUUGUGCAAUUUCCAGUUCCAGCAAUUGUUUAGUUUUACUAUUUGUUGAAAAUUUGUUGAAUUAGUGAUAUCCGUUAAACAUACUUGGUGCUGCAACAACGCGAGUAUCAGAGUAUGUAGAAAUAAUGAUAGAAAUAGUUGAUUAAUUUCAGAAUUUAAAACUCGUCUUUCUAGUUCUGUGGCCAGAUUCUUAUCAUCUUUAAGGUUUGAAUUGGUUGAGCUGUUAAAUUGAGGCCAUUUGUAAGAAGCUUGUGUCUGAUGAAAAUGCUUAUUUACAGACUUGGAGACCUAGAAACACAGAGAUAGAAAGUUGUAUGAUAGAACACAUCAUGUCACAAGCUUUCCAGCUACUUUUUAGUUGCUGAAAUUUUUAGAGCCUCUUGCAACCUGAAUGAUAGAAAAGCAAUGCUUAAUUGAACAACCCAUCACAUGGCACGUGCGUAACUUGGGAUAAAUUCCAGCACACAUCUGUGUUGCCAACAACUGCUAUGCCAGUGAUUGGAGAUAAUCCUGAUGUCCAUGAAUCCAUAGUAUUUGAAGAUGAUUGUGAAUUAGUACUUGUGCCUCAAGCUUCUCUUUGUCGUUUGAUCUCAAAUGACUAGUUAUUGGUCAGAAUUUGUAGUCUUGGAUUCGUAAAUAACUAUUUUAUGCUUAAGUAUCUUUGAAUUUGGAAAGUCGAGAAUUCUUCUCUGGCCAUCAUGUACUUUGAGUGUGUAUAGGUUGAGGAUGCUAACUUAAGUAAAGGUCGAAUAGAGGUUGAUGUUUGUGAUUUCUAAUCGAGCUAUAUUGAACUAAAGUUCAUUUAUGUUUUUCUUUUAAAACUUUUCCUGCAGCAAAUCAGAAUAUGUAAUCUACAAGCUGAAAGAGAUGGGAAAGAUUGGGGAGAAAGAUAUAUUGCAGAUAUGCAAUCAAUUCAGCAAACUAGACCCCAACAACUUGGGAAAGAUAACCCUAACUGAUCUCUUGGAGAACCGUUUAUGACAAACUAUUUUAGUACGAUUUUUUUCAACAGAAGAAGCUUGGGAGGAGGACAAAGGGAAGUAAGAACCUGAGAAUCUUCAUGCAAGAAGAAAUGCUGGCAUACAUGCACAAUUGUUGUCCUAUCUAGCAAAAGACGGUAGCCGAUUAGCCAUGGCAAGCCGGUUCACGAGGAACUGUACAGCCAUGGGAGGUCACUUCUUGGUGAUAAUACAAUGAUGACAGGAGAAAAAAAGGAAUGAAAACACAAGGUUGCCUUCAUGAACUCACCCAUCCUCCAGCCCUAUGACCCAAAAUUUAGAUCUUGUGUCCUGGGACCUUGAAUUGUGUAUAACAACUUGACAAUGUGAUUAUGCAUUGAUACUGAACUAUUCCCAAGGGGAAAAUGCAAAAUGCAACCAGAAGAUUAUACAACCCAAACUUAACCCCACUCUUCAAUUUAUUUGAUGGUAGCAUCAUCAGUGUAUCAUUACAAUUCAAGACAAGGUCUAAAAGCAUCAAGG